rnacentral:rRNA from 1 species
AGAGUUUGAUCAUGGCUCAGGAUGAACGCUGGCGGCGUGCCUAACACAUGCAAGUCGAGCGAAGUAUUUCAAGAAGCCUUCGGGUGGAAUGGAUUUAACUUAGCGGCGGACGGGUGAGUAACGCGUGGGCAACCUACCCUGUACAGGGGAAUAACAAUGGGAAACCAUUGCUAAUACCCCAUAAUACCUUUUAGGGGCAUCCCUUAAAGGUCAAAGAAUUUCGGUAUAGGAUGGGCCCGCGUCGCAUUAGCUAGUUGGUAAGGUAACGGCUUACCAAGGCGACGAUGCGUAGCCGGCCUGAGAGGGUGAACGGCCACACUGGAACUGAGACACGGUCCAGACUCCUACGGGAGGCAGCAGUGGGGAAUAUUGCACAAUGGGGGAAACCCUGAUGCAGCAACGCCGCGUGAGCGAUGAAGGCUUUCGGGUCGUAAAGCUCUGUCCUAAGGGAAGAUAAUGACGGUACCUUAGGAGGAAGCCCCGGCUAACUACGUGCCAGCCGCAGC